GUGACAUUAGCUAGAUGGUAAGGUAACGGCUUACCAUGGCUACGAUGUCUAGGGGUCCUGAGAGGAAGGUCCCCCACACUGGAACUGAGACACGGUCCAGACUCCUACGGGAGGCAGCAGUGAGGAAUAUUGGACAAUGGAUGGAAAUCUGAUCCAGCCAUGCCGCGUGCAGGAAGACGGCCCUAUGGGUUGUAAACUGCUUUUGUAUGGGAGCAAUAAGGGCUACGUGUAGUCCGAUGAGAGUACCAUACGAAUAAUCACCGGCUAACUCCGUGCCAGCAGCCGCGGUAAUACGGAGGGUGCAAGCGUUAUCCGGAUUUAUUGGGUUUAAAGGGUGCGUAGGCGGUUUGAUAAGUCAGCGGUGAAAUAUUUCUGCUUAACUGGAAGGGUGCCGUUGAUACUGU
rnacentral:rRNA from 1 species